rfam:Volvox carteri f. nagariensis unplaced genomic scaffold VOLCAscaffold_8, whole genome shotgun sequence.
GGGGCUUUAGUUCAAUGGUAGAGCGCGCGCUUCGCAUGUGUGAGGUCACCGGAUCAAUCCCGGUAAGCUCCA